rnacentral:lncRNA from 1 species
GGGCAUAGUAGAGAGAACGAGAAAUGAUGGCCGAGUAUAGAAUGGGAGAUGGGAGAAGGCACCUCAACGCCUUUCUUCUGUGAGCCUGACUGAGCGAGAGAGAUGGCAAAACAGGCCAAUUUGUUGGGUCAUCAAGUCACGGCUACUGGGCCAAUUUUGCACUUGGUUUUUAUUUAUUUUUUUACAGCAGGGAUUCAUCCGUUAAUCCUUAUUGCAUCAAAGAGUCCACAUUUCGCUAAAAAAAUCAAAGAGUCCACAUAUUAUAUAAUAGAAAUAAUAUUUAUUUUAUUAAAAUAUUAAUUGAGCGACCCAUCAGGUAUCCAUGGGUAUAAACGUAUACCCAUACCCUGCCCAUGACUAAUCGGGCGAGCCAUCGGGUAUACCCAUGGGCGUAAAACGUUGAAUCAUAUCCUACCCAUUUG